UUAAGUGAACAAGGGCAUACGGCGGAUGCCUUGGCGCCAAGAGCCGAUGAAGGACGCGGUAAGCUGCGAAAAGGCAUGGGUAGGAGCAAGCAUCCUGUGAUCCAUGCAUAUCCGAAUGGGGCAACCCACCAUCAGUCAUGUGAUGGUACGAAAGAGGCAGACCUGGGGAACUGAAACAUCUAAGUACCCAGAGGAAAAGUAAUCAAUUGAGAUUCCCUAAGUAGCGGCGAGCGAAAGGGGAAGAGCCCAAACCAGAUAACUUCGGUUGUCUGGGGUUGAGGACCGGCAAAAAGAGGAAACUUCUUAGUCGAAUGGUUUGGAAAGGCCAUGCACAGAAGGUAAAACACCUGUAGGCGAAAAGAAGUCAAUCGGGCUGGUAUCCAGAGUACUGCGAGACACGUGAAACCUUGCAGGAAGCAGGGGGGACCACCCUCCAAGGCAAAAUACUACUUGGCGACCGAUAGCGCAUAGUACCGUGAGGGAAAGGUGAAAAGAACCCCGGGAGGGGAGUGAAAUAGAACCUGAAACCGUAUGUCUACAAGCAGUCGAAGCACCUUAAGAGUGCGACGGCGUGCCUAUUGAAGAAUGAACCGGCGAGUUACAUUAUGUUGCGAGGUUAAGUGGGAGACACGGAGCCGAAGCGAAAGCGAGUCUUAAUAGGGCGACUAGUAACAUGGUGUAGACCCGAAACCGCAGUGAUCUAUCCAUGGUCAGGUUGAAGCGCAGGUAAAAUUGCGUGGAGGACCGAACCAGUGAGCGUUGAAAAGCUUUUGGAUGAGAUGUGGGUAGGGGUGAAAUUCCAAUCGAACGCGGAGAUAGCUGGUUCUCCCCGAAAUAGCUUUAGGGCUAGCCUCAGGGAAGAUUAUAGACGGUAGAGCACUGAUCUGGCAAGGGGGCGUAAAGCCUACCGACCCUAGUCAAACUUCGAAUGGCUAUAAUUAAGACCCUGGGAGUCAGACUGCGAGUGAUAAGACCCGUAGUCAAGAGGGAAACAGCCCAGACCGCCGACUAAGGUCCCCAAUGCUGUACUAAGUGGAAAAGGAUGUAAGACUUCAUAAACAACCAGGAUGUUGGCUUAGAAGCAGCCACCAUUAAAAGAGUGCGUAAUAGCUCACUGGUCGAGAGGCCUUGCGCCGAAGAUGUCCGGGGCUCAAGUACAGAACCGAAGUCGCGGCAGGAUUAUAUAAUUCUGGGUAGGGGAGCGUUGUAUAUCCGACUGAAGGUGUACCGGAAGGAGCGCUGGAGGAUAUACAAGAGAGAAUGCCGGUAUGAGUAGCGAAAAGAACAGUGAGAAUCUGUUCCACCGAAAGCCUAAGGUUUCCUGAGCAACGCUCGUCGACUCAGGGUAAGUCGGGACCUAAGCCGAGGCAAAAAGCAUAGGCGAUGGACAACAGGUUAAUAUUCCUGUACCGCUUCAAAUCGUUUGAGCAAUGGAGUGACACAGAAGGUAGCUUGAGCACGCGAAUGGAUGUGCGUGUCGAAGGUGGUAGGUUGCAGUAUAGGCAAAUCCGUACUGUAUAAGACCGAGAACUGAUAGAUAGACGAUACUUCGGUAAAGUCAAAUUCAAGUGAGCCAUGCUGUCGAGAAAAGCUUCUAGUGAGAGAUGAGGCGCCCGUACCGAAACCGACACAGGUAGGCGGGGAGAGAAUCCUAAGGUGCGCGGGACAACCCUCGUUAAGGAACUCGGCAAAUUGUAUCCGUAACUUAGGGAUAAGGAUAGCCGGAGGAUGUGAAGGGAUUUACUUCUGGAGCGUCAGCCGGUGGCACAAGAGAGGCCCAAGCGACUGUUUAGCACAAACACAGGUGCCUGCAAAAGAGAAAUCUGACGUAUAGGUGCUGACACCUGCCCGGUGCUGGAAGGUUAAGAGGAGGGCUUAGAGGCAACUCGAAGGCUUGAAUUGAAGCCCCAGUAAACGGCGGCCGUAACUAUAACGGUCCUAAGGUAGCGAAAUUCCUUGUCGGGUAAGUUCC
rnacentral:rRNA from 1 species